GACUCUCGACAACGGAUAUCUCGGCUCUCGCAUCGAUGAAGAACGUAGUGAAAUGCGAUACUUGGUGUGAAUUGCAGAAUCCCGUGAACCAUCGAGUUUUUGAACGCAAGUUGCGCCCGAAGUCUUCUGGCCGAGGGCACGUCUGCCUGGGCGUCACG
rnacentral:rRNA from 1 species